GACGAAGGAUCCUAGCGUUGCUCGGAAUUAUUGGGCGUAAAGCGGGUGUAGGUGGCUUGGUAAGUCGGGUGUGAAAGCCCAGGGCUCAACCCUGGAAGUGCAUUCGAUACUGCUGAGCUUGAGUGCGAGAGAGGUUAAUAGAAUACCUGGUGUAGUGGUGAAAUACGUAGAUAUCAGGUGGAACACCGGAGGCGAAGGCGGUUAACUGGCUCGACACUGACACUGAGACCCGAAAGUGCGGGGAUCAAACAGG
rnacentral:rRNA from 1 species